rnacentral:lncRNA from 1 species
ACUACAAUUAUCUAAAAGAGGGUUUAAUUUGUGUGUUAGUUUAUACCACAUCAAUCCUCUAUAGUGUAGAUAAUAUCAUUUGUUAAAAAAAUGUUGGGUUUUUUAGGAGUGAAAUUGAAUUCUAGAGGCUAAAGUCAAAAUUUCAAUAAAACAAACUUUCAUCAAUCCAUGCAAAAAAGUAGAUAUACACAUUCUCUCAUUUAAUCAAAUCAAAUCAAAUCACAUUACUCAUAAAAUAUGCUAUCAAACAUGCAAAGAACUUGACCAAAUUGAAUUGAUAUGUUAAAAAAUUACUUCAAAAGUCGACUUUGCAAGGUGGUCGAGAAGAACCGUAUUGUUGUCGAAGUGUAACACUUAUACUCCCACUAUCACUCUCUUGAGUGCUAAUUCCUUCCAUGUCCAUUCUCACUUUAAUCUUCAACACCACGAGACAACUCAUGUCUAGCUUUCCUAUUUUCUUUAGUUUCUUGGACACUAGCAACCCAUUGUACCUUCACAUUGGCAAGACUUUUUUUACAACUAAACAUAACUCCUGAACUUACACCACCCAAGUGAUAAUUGAAUCUAGAAAUUGAGCCCGUGCAGUUGUGAUUACAAAAUACACAAUCGAAAUGUUGGUAAUCGGGUCAAUAUUUUUUGUCUAUUGCCAAGCAAAAUCUAUUUUAGUAGAAGUCAUUCUUCGACUUCAAUAUCGUUUGCCUAAACAAUCAAUCAAAUUGACCAAGCUUUACAAUUAUAUAUAUACUUCAUCAACCACAACAUAUAAUCGAUCAUGCAUUACAAUUUAUCAAAUUUCAUAUAAUUAUAUUCACACACGCACAAAUGUAUAGUGAUACACGCUGACAUGCACACACAUAUAUAUUCAUUAUCCACAAAACCGGAUUCCCUCCAGAUCCAAUAAUACUGAACCUACUAAGCAGGCAAUCCGGACCGUUGAAAUUUGAUCCAAUAGCUACAAUUAUUAUAACUUUAGAGGACCCCCCUAUUUGUAGCCGUUGGAUCAAAUUUCAACAGUUCGGAUCUCCUACUCAGCAAGUUUAGUUUUAUUGGAUCCGGAGGGGAUCCGGUUCCAUUAUCAACAAACGCACACGUAUAUAUUGCACAAUACAUUAUAUAUAUAAAAAUUAAAAAUCAUAAAGUCUAACCUUAAAAUUAGGGUUUUGUGGGAAUGACGGGGACGGUGCUAGUCGAUGGGUGUUGUGGUGUCGUUGGGGGUGGCUGACACACCCCGACACGGAAUGUCCACCUGGAAGGUGUAGUGAAGUGGAAAAUGUGAGUAAAUCUAAACAUAAAAGUGCUUAAAUAUAAGAGUGCGCUAAUGAGCGGAAAUGAACCAAUUUCACACGUGAUGUCAUAACAUAAAUGAGUAUUCCCAUAACAACGUUUAGCUAGAAAGUCCUUGUCAACACGAAAGCUCUGCUACUAAACCUGGAGGGGCAAAAAAAUAAGGGUGAGUGGGCCCAAAAAUAAAAUUUUGUAAAACCUUUUAAAAAACGUAUAACCCUCGCUGUAAAACAAGUAUAGUUUCCAAAUAUACAUACUACAUAUAGUAUGAAAAUACUUACCAUAAUUAGUAAUAUUUCAUAAAUACGGUAAAUCACAAUGUUUGACUAUAAAACAUGUAACAACUGGUAAUCACGACAACUAGCAUAAAUAGACAUAAAAGAUUGGGUGCUCGUCGACAUAUGCUGACUUAUGAGUUCACACAGAGAUAUUCUGACAUGAACAGGAUUGGGUGUAAUAAUGGUUUACACUUUAGUGCUACAAUCACGUGAAGACUGGCGUUAUGCACAUCACAUACGAGUGCUAAUUGCCUAUAGCAAUCUAGGAUAGAACUGGCACCUACAAUGGAUCCAAAGUGAGCGUACAGUGCGAUGUGAACAUAUACGUGAAGCCUGGCCCUGGCCUGGGCGAGUACAAACACCACUGUAGCAUGCAUGAUGAGCAGUAAUAUAAAUAUGAUCAUAUUACGAAAAUUUCAUAAUACACAACAAAAAAAUAAUAAUAUCCAUAACCGUAAAUAAUUUUAUGGCAUCACAUCGAAAUAUGCAUAAUUGUGCAUCCCGUAGAAUUUAUGAAGAUUUCAUAAAUUCCGUCAAUACGCUACUUCUUAUAAACAUUAAUCUAAUCUAGGUGUAACGUAGAAAAUUCUUUAUCAAAGAUAUAAAUGGAAACUAAAUAAAUAUAUAACAUUUAAAAGCAAAGACCCACUAAUGUGACCAUUCACGGGCAUCGAAGAUCCUUGCAAUAUGUAUCACUAGGAAUGAAACCAUUUACAUAAAUAAACAACGUACUAAUGUAAAUUUGCGUAUUCGUACAAAGUACGUCUAAUAAAGGAAGUAUUUUAAAAUGAUCAAAUUUCGAAAAACGAACGGCGGAUUUGGGUUCGACACAUCGAGAAACCUAAGGCUGGACCUCGGGUUUCCCUACACGCCGCCACAUGCGCCGCCACAAGGUGGCUACAUUGGCAACCACGUGCUGUAUGCACUGAGGAUAAAAAGCCCACAUGCACCCUCAUGUGCGUGUGAGUAUUAGUGUACUCGCUUUCUUCACGAAGACCCUAGUUUGGUAGGUUUUGGUCCGACUUGCAGAGCCUAUUUCGAGCUCUAUUUGUACCACACUUGACCAAUCCCGAAACUA